AUUGAACGCUGGCGGCAGGCCUAACACAUGCAAGUCGAGCGGAUGAAGGGAGCUUGCUCCUGGAUUCAGCGGCGGACGGGUGAGUAAUGCCUAGGAAUCUGCCUGGUAGUGGGGGAUAACGUCCGGAAACGGGCGCUAAUACCGCAUACGUCCUGAGUGAGAAAGUGGGGGAUCUUCGGACCUCACGCUAUCAGAUGAGCCUAGGUCGGAUUAGCUAGUUGGUGGGGUAAAGGCCUACCAAGGCGACGAUCCGUAACUGGUCUGAGAGGAUGAUCAGUCACACUGGAACUGAGACACGGUCCAGACUCCUACGGGAGGCAGCAGUGGGGAAUAUUGGACAAUGGGCGAAAGCCUGAUCCAGCCAUGCCGUGUGUGUGAAGAAGGUCUUCGGAUUGUAAAGCACUUUAAGUUGGGAGGAAGGGCAGUAAGUUAAUACCUUGCUGUUUUGACGUUACCAACAGAAUAAGCACCGGCUAACUUCGUG
rnacentral:rRNA from 1 species